rnacentral:rRNA from 1 species
UACGAAGGUGGCAAGCGUUACUCGGAAUUACUAGGCGUAAAGCGCAGGUAGGCGGUUCGAUAAGUCUUUUGUGAAAGCUCCCGGCUUAACUGGGAGAGGUCAAGAGAAACUGUCGAGCUAGAGUGUGGUAGAGGUAACUGGAAUUCCCGGUGUAGCGGUGAAAUGCGUAGAUAUCGGGAGGAAUACCUAUGGCGAAAGCAGGUUACUGGGCCAUCACUGACGCUGAGCUGCGAAAGCUAGGGGAGCAAACGGG